UUCUUUCUUUUGUAGGUACUGGGUUUUCCAUGGAAAAGUUUCAAAUGCUAUUUCCUUUUUCAUCGACAGGGCCUUCUUCUUAUCCUGUAUCGUCAACCAUAACAAAUUCUCAUGUUUUUAAUAACUUUCAAGGUGAUACUUCAAAUGGGUUCUUGGGAUUGAAGAUAGAAAAUCAAGUAGGAGUACCACCAAGAACGGAAGUCAAGGACCUUAAUUCAUCAUCACAACAAAGUGCAAGCUUUUCAAUUGGGUCUGAAACUACUGAUCAGCUAAAACCAGGCAAAAAGAAAGGCGAAAAGAAAAUUAGAAAACCCAGAUAUGCUUUUCAAAC
rnacentral:misc_RNA from 1 species